rnacentral:rRNA from 1 species
AACGAACGCUGGCGGCAGGCCUAACACAUGCAAGUCGAGCGAGGACUUCGGUUCUAGCGGCGGACGGGUGAGUAACGCGUGGGAAUGUGCCCUUCUCUACGGAAUAGCCCUGGGAAACUGGGAGUAAUACCGUAUACGCCCUAUUGGGGAAAGAUUUAUCGGAGAAGGAUCAGCCCGCGUUGGAUUAGGUAGUUGGUGGGGUAAUGGCCUACCAAGCCGACGAUCCAUAGCUGGUUUGAGAGGAUGAUCAGCCACACUGGGACUGAGACACGGCCCAGACUCCUACGGGAGGCAGCGGUGGGGAAUCUGAGACAAUGGGGGCAACCCUGAUCUAGCCAUGCCGCGUGAGUGAUGAAGGCCUUAGGGUUGUAAAGCUCUUUCAGCUGGGAAGAUAAUGACGGUACCAGCAGAAGAAGCCCCGGCUAACUCCGUG